rnacentral:rRNA from 1 species
UACGGGGGGAGCAAGCGUUGUUCGGAAUUACUGGGCGUAAAGCGUGCGUAGGCGGUUUCUUAAGUCCGUUGUGAAAGCCCUGGGCUCAACCUGGGAACUGCGAUGGAUACUGAGGAGCUGGAGUACGGUAGAGGAAGGUGGAAUUCCCGGUGUAGCGGUGAAAUGCGUAGAGAUCGGGAGGAACAUCAGUGGCGAAGGCGGUUCUCUGGGACGGUACUGACGCUGAGACGCGAAAGCGUGGGGAGCGAACAGG